rnacentral:sRNA from 1 species
GGAGAAGGGAGGCAAAAAGCAAAGAAACAAGAAAAAAGUAACGAAAAAUAUGGAGUCACCGGGGAAUUUUCAGAUGGUCCUCGGGUCAGUGGGGAAAAAGAAGGUCCAACAUGACAGCGGAGGUUAUCUUUGUAUCAGAGAUCCCCAACAGCCCAAGACUGCUCCACAAAAUAAGCUGACACAUGGAUGGAGAUAUUUCGAAGGACCUUUUUUAGUUUGAGCUUGGGUUUUAUUUUUUGAUUGGUGGUGACAAUGAUAUGUGAAAGCAAGGAGGAGUCGAGCAAAGCACAUACGGAAAAAAUGUUUACUUUAUUUAUUCAUUCUUAAGUAGCAGCUGGCCGCUGACCAAGAUAGCAUAAAAAACAAUA